CAGCACCUCAAGUGGUCAGGAUGAUUAUUGGGCCUAGAGCAUCCGUAGCCGGCGCUGUAAGUUUUCGGUUAAAUCUGUACGCUCAACGUACAGGCUGCCGGGAAUACUGCAGCGCUAGGGAGUGGGAGAGGUAGACGGUACUCGGUAGGAAGGGGUAAAAUCCUUUGAUCUAUUGAUGACCACCUGUGGCGAAGGCGGUCUACCAGAACACGUCCGACGGUGAGGGAUGAAAGCUGGGGGAGCAAACCGGAUUAGAUACCCGAGUAGUCC
rnacentral:rRNA from 1 species